GGGGGGAUGGGAGGCAAGUGCCCACCGAAGAAGAAAGUGGAACCGCCGCCGCCUUGCUGCGCGAGCUGCAAGUGUUUUAAUCAGCCUAGGAUUUUGAAGCAACGAUUGAAAUGGCCCGAAGACCCAAAACCCUGCCACUGAUAGUUAAGAUAAACAUUUGCAAAGAAAAA